AUUGAACGCUGGCGGCAUGCUUUACACAUGCAAGUCGAACGGUAACAGGCCUUCGGGUGCUGACGAGUGGCGAACGGGUGAGUGAUGCAUCGGAACGUGCCCAGAGGUGGGGGUUAACGCAGCGAAAGCUGUGCUAAUACCGCAUGUGAUCUGAGGAUGAAAGCGGGGGACCAGGCAGCAAUGUUUGGCCUCGCGCCUUUGGAGCGGCCGAUGUCGGAUUAGGUAGUUGGUGGGGUAAAGGCCUACCAAGCCGACGAUCUGUAGCUGGUCUGAGAGGACGACCAGCCACACGGGGACUGAGACACGGCCCAGACUCCUACGGGAGGCAGCAGUGGGGAAUUUUGGACAAUGGGCGCAAGCCUGAUCCAGCAAUGCCGCGUGCGGGAAGAAGGCCUUCGGGUUGUAAACCGCUUUUGUACGGAACGAAAAGGCUCUGGCUAAUACCUGGGGCUGAUGACGGUACCGGAAGAAUAAGCACCGGCUAACUACGUG
rnacentral:rRNA from 1 species